CCUACGGGAGGCAGCAGUGAGGAAUAUUGGUCAAUGGACGAGAGUCUGAACCAGCCACGUAGCGUGAAGGAUGACUGCCCUAUGGGUUGUAAACUUCUUUUAUAAAGGAAUAAAACGAGGCACGUGUGCCUUUUUGCAUGUACUUUAUGUAUAAGGAUCGGCUAACUCCGUGACAGCAGCCGCGGUAAUACGGAGGAUCCGAGCGUUAUCCGGAUUUAUUGGGUUUAAAGGGAGCGUAGAUGGGUUGUUAAGUCAGUUGCGAAAGUUUGCGGCUCAACCGUAAAAUUGCAAUUGAUACUGGCAGUCUUGAGUACAGUUGAGGUAGGCGGAAUUCGUGGUGUAGCGGUGAAAUGCUGAGAUAUCACGAAGAACCCCGAUUGCGAAGGCAGCUUACUAAACUGUGACUGACAUUGAUGCUCGAAAGUGUGGGUAUCAAACAGGAUUAGAUACCCGUGUAGUC
rnacentral:rRNA from 1 species